AGUGUAAGCAGCUAAGCAUAAAGAUUUCAUUCAUCUCGUUCAUUAAAAUUCAAAUAAUUAUAAAGUCAGAGAUGUUAACUUUUCAGUUAUUACAAUACAGCUGGCAAACAGAGACUGUUGUACCAACUGGGAGACUUGAAGCCUCAUCUUUGGUGGUCAGGAAGGCGCUGUUAUCCCAGGAGAUCCUAUAUGUGAGUCUCAGAGCCACCAAGGCCCGUAAGUGGGAUCUGGCUACCAUCUGCUUUGACUGGACCUCACAAUUAGUAAAGAACCAGAAUGGAUUACCA
rnacentral:lncRNA from 1 species